rnacentral:rRNA from 1 species
AGCAGCAGCCGCGGUAACACGAAGGGUGCAAGCGUUACUCGGAAUUACUGGGCGUAAAGCGUGCGUAGGUGGUGGUUUAAGUCCGUUGUGAAAGCCCUGGGCUCAACCUGGGAAUUGCAGUGGAUACUGGAUCACUAGAGUGUGGUAGAGGAUAGUGGAAUUUCCGGUGUAGCAGUGAAAUGCGUAGAGAUCGGAAGGAACAUCUGUGGCGAAGGCGACUAUCUGGGCCAACACUGACACUGAGGCACGAAAGCGUGGGGAGCAAACAGGAUUAGAUACCCCAGUAGUCCCUGUCUCUUAUAC